rnacentral:piRNA from 1 species
UGGGCUAGGAGAGCUCUUGGCAGCUCUGUCA